CCCGGACCCUCACCCGGAGGCAAGUCGAUUUUGCUUAAGCUCCUGAUAUUUCGAAAUGGCUGCCGAGCUGCCGAGUGCGGGAGAAUGUAUCUAAUAAACGCAAGCUGACUUGGCUGAAGGGGGACGGUUCUACACAAGAGUUCAAGAAAUUCUCCAGAGAACUAGUUAGGCUUAAAGGAAAAUGGACCACACUGAGUUGACAGAGAGUGUGGAACAGGGCUAUGAUGAUUGGAAAGAAACUGUGAUAAUCACCUGUUGAGCCUUGAUGCUGAAUGAUCUGAGUUUCCUUAGAGCCAAAUAAGAACCUAGUGUAAUAAUUGGGAAAAACAAAGCAGAGAAAUUAUCCCCAGUGGCUUGGCCAAAAUUUAGUGUGUAAUCAUCAGUAAAAAUAAAAUCAUCUUGUAUGUAUGCUUGUGAGAGCUUGCAGAACAUAAAUUGACUGUUUGAUCUCCUGCAUUACAAUGUGGAAGGUACUUCAAUAAAGUGAGUUUUGAAAAACUGUAAGUGAGGUAAAAAUGCUAUACAAAUGAGAGAGUUUCUUAUUGAUCGUUCUAUUUUGUAACAAUAGUUUGAUAGAUUAUCCUGUGUAGAUAAUCUCAGUGUUGACAAUUCAGGUUAUUUAAGAUAACAGGAAGAAAUCAAGUUACUUUCUAUUUUGGUGGAAUUAUUUGAGCUGUUCCUGCACAGCUAACAUUAAUAAUUCUGUAAUACUUCCUAAUAUCAAGUUAAUCCUUUGGUCCUCAGGUCCAGAUUCUUUGACCAUGGACAGAUUUUGACACAAAGUUAUUUUUUGAAGCACCUGACAGUUAAACCUGAAACUGCAAUGCCUAACUCACUCUGCUGUGUUUACUAUCAUAAGCUUUCAUCUUACCAUUUCUUUCCCCUUACUCUGAUCGUUGUAUUUGCAUCUCAGUUUAACCGCAACCUCACAAGCACACAGUGAUAAAAUAUAUAUGUUGUCAUGCAUAUUUUAUUAGCUCUCUUAAAGUAUGGAUGUGCAGUGCAAAGUCACUAAAUAUGGUGAUUUAUUUGAGCAGGUGAAAGUUUGACAGUAGCCUUGCUUGUUUGACUAGUUAUAUUAAUUAGCAGCUAUAACAAUCUAUAUUAGGCACAAAUUAGUGGAGCCAAAGGAAUAGAUGAAAAUAAAAUACCAGGUUAUUUUGGGUUUAAUCAAGUCUUGCCAGUAACUAAACUCAGCAGGAGCUUUGGCCAGAAGUCAAAAUGAAGGAUUAAAUGCUGUAUAGAUUAUGAGUAGCACCUAAUUCAUGGUGGUGAGAGGCAGUGGGGGCUUGGUAGUGGAUGCUGGGAGUAGUGAAGAGGAUGGGUAAUUUAGGAUUAUCAUGAUUUAAAUAUCUUUUCAGUUACUGGGAAAAAAAAUAUAAUAGCAUGUUUAACUCUCACGUCAUAAUUGGACGCAAUUUCCUGGAUUUAUGCAUAUGGCUUAGACUCACCCAUGUCGGAUUAAGGUGCAGAUUUGUUACUUUUCUAAUGUUUUCAUUUAUAGUUUAACUUUCCUAUGCUUGUUUGUGUUUUUAUAUAAUCACCGAUACACAUGUUCAGUAAAUCUUCCAGUAAUUGAAGUUCAAAUUUCAAAGUACAUUUAUUAUCAAAGUAUGUAUGCAUUAUACAACCCUGAGAUUUAGCUCCUUACAGACAGCUACAAAACAAAGAAACCUGAAAAGAACCAACUGAAAAAAAGACCAUCAAACACCCAAUGCACAGAGAGAAAAUAAAAAUCGUAGAAACAAUUAACGUAAGCAAAUAGCAUUCAGAAUGGAAGUUUUAUGAAAGACACGUGACCAGGCAUCACUGCACCUGGAGCAGACCACAGUUGAUUCUGUAUUUUUUUGGCAGCUUCUCAGUUUUCCUGCAGUAGGUGUCACACCCCACUUGAAUCUGGCUAUUUCAUAAGUUAAUUGUUAGCACUGGAAUUGUUUAUCUCAUAUCUGAAUAUGAUACUGCUCCUUUGUUGUUUGUUCCUGUAAUACUUAAUAAAAUGCCUGAAA